UACAAAAGUAGAGGCGCAAUUAUUAUAAGUAUUUUUUCAGAGUGGAUAACGAAGAAGAAAAAAGAAAGGAAUAGUUGCCGAAAUCAAAUAAAAGUCGUUUUGUUUGGUUGGUGGCGUGCUCGAAAGGGGCGACACUGUCAUAGUUUUUCUGAUUAACUAUGGAGUGCUACGGUUGUU
rnacentral:ncRNA from 19 species